GGAAGUAAAGGUCGUAACAAGGUUUCCGUAGGUGAACCUGCGGAAGGAUCAUUACUGAGUGAGGGCCCCUCGGGGUCCAACCUCCCACCCGUGUUUAACGAACCUUGUUGCUUCGGCGGGCCCGCCUCACGGCCGCCGGGGGGCAUCUGCCCCCGGGCCCGCGCCCGCCGAAGCCACCUGUGAACGCUGUCUGAAGUAUGCAGUCUGAGACAAUUAUUAAAUUAAUUAAAACUUUCAACAACGGAUCUCUUGGUUCCG
rnacentral:misc_RNA from 1 species